UACGGAGGGUGCGAGCGUUGUCCGGAAUCACUGGGCGUAAAGGGCGCGUAGGCGGCGCGGGAAGUCCGUGGUGAAAGCCCGAGGCUCAACUUCGGGUCGGCCAUGGAUACUCCUGGGCUCGAGCACUGUAGAGGCAGGUGGAAUUCCGGGUGUAGCGGUGGAAUGCGUAGAGAUCCGGAGGAACACCAGUGGCGAAGGCGAACACGCUGGGCCGUACCUGACACUGAUGCGCGACAGCAUGGGGAGCAAACAGG
rnacentral:rRNA from 1 species